GAUGAACGCUAGCUACAGGCUUAACACAUGCAAGUCGAGGGGCAGCAUGUCGGUUGCUUGCAACCGACGAUGGCGACCGGCGCACGGGUGAGUAACGCGUAUCCAACCUACCCUUGUCCAUCGGAUAACCCGUCGAAAGGCGGACUAACACGAUAUGCGGUUCUCAGCAGGCAUCUAACGAGAACGAAAUGCGAAGGAGAAGGAUGGGGAUGCGUCUGAUUAGCUUGUUGGCGGGGUAACGGCCCACCAAGGCGACGAUCAGUAGGGGUUCUGAGAGGAAGGUCCCCCACAUUGGAACUGAGACACGGUCCAAACUCCUACGGGAGGCAGCAGUGAGGAAUAUUGGUCAAUGGACGAGAGUCUGAACCAGCCAAGUAGCGUGCAGGAAGACGGCCCUAUGGGUUGUAAACUGCUUUUAUAGGGGGAUAAAGUGUGCCACGUGUGGCAUAUUGCAGGUACCCUAUGAAUAAGGACCGGCUAAUUCCGUGCCAGCCGCCGCCGUAACAC
rnacentral:rRNA from 1 species